AAACCUUCUAGAACACACACAACAUGGGCUUCCCACUGAAAGCUUCAGGGCUACAGCACUGCCGAUCCCAAGCUCUGUGGCUCACUUCACAAGACGGCUGUGAGGACAGAUUCCCCGUCCUAGGUCAAGCCUGAGGUCUGCCGAAUUGUUCCAUCUCACAAAGGCACGGGCUCCCUCUGAGAGUCCACGACCAGCCCCCAAAGACAAGCUGCAGCGGAGACAGGUGCAUCUGGGUGCUGCAGGUAACUGGAAAUGGGCGUGUGCAGUCAUCCUGAGCAUCACUGUACCAGCGGGGACAGUACUGCAGACAACCCACCCGGGAGCUAGCUGAAGAGUGACAAGCUUCCUCGGCUCAGCAACCCUUGGCUUUGGUCAGAAAGCUGCCUUCUACCUUACUGAGCAGCAGGGCCCGAAGGAGGCUCUUCCCUAGGCUUUCUGGUCUAAACUCAAGUGCAAGCACAGCCUUUCUAACUCUCCCAUCCCAGUGGUGUCAGGACGGAAUACCUGAGGUCAUCUCCGAUCAAGACUUCACAUUCGUGACUAAUAAUACUUCAGUGUUAAUUAGAGCUCAGCAGAGAAUGCUGAUUGAUUCUGAAUCUGUAAUCUGCGGUGAUUUAGCAACAUCGAGAGAGCUUUAGUACCUCUUCCUGGAACACGGAAGCUCACAUGACUGACUGGCAUCCGGUACUUUUAGCUCAACAAAAUCUCAAAAGAAGUACAGAUGCUGUACUGUGUACUUCUACUUGAGAGGAAAAUAAUCCUCAUAUUAAAUAUAAAUUAUUCUUGGUAUAGGAUGGAUGUAGUAGUGUUAUAAAUACAUAACUACCGUAUUGAAUUGUCCCUAAAAUGUUUAUAGUACAAGUUUGUCUACUGCAAUGAACAUGCACUUCUGCCCAACCU
rnacentral:lncRNA from 1 species